UUUUUUUUUUUCUUUCAUUUUUUCCCCUGUCUUUAGUGUCUCUGUGACACGAAUUGUCCCAUAAUAGUGAUGGGACACACCUAGGGUUCUUCCUGUCCCUCACACCAAUCUUGGCUUGGGUCUGGGUUCAGCUCCCCAUUCAAACAGCAGCCUGAGUAUAUAAUAGACAAAAGGAUAAGAAGAUAAAAUGUUUUAUAAAUGUGAAAACAGGUGAAAUUCCCUUUGGCCUGCUCCCAGAGGGUGCUGAUGUCCAAGCUGGGAGCAGAGGAACAUUCUGGUUAGCUGGACCCACAAGCUGGGACAUCCCGUGGCUGGGCUGUGCUGGACCUGGCUGUGCUCCCACAGCUCUGGGAGCUGACAUACCUCCAAAAUGCUCCUGAGGCCAUAGUCCAGCAAGUCCAGGUGGCAGGUGCACAGCUGGGCUGGGAUGCUCCCCUGUGUCCAUCGAUGGAGGCAAAUCUAUUCCAUGCUCAGCUUUCAAAGGCGGUUUAAUAAUAAACAUUAAAAUGCCAACUGACCUGCAAUGGGAGGGAAAAAAAAUUGUGACAUUAAGCACCUUCACAUGAAAUAAUUCAAGUGAAGCUGGAGCAGAUUUUAAGCAUAAGGAGGUCCCUGGGUGGUGAAGGUGGAGAUGCACACCUUGGAAAGGUCAGGCAGCUGCUGAAACCUCCGUGUGCUCCCAGGUCUGACAAAAACAAGGUGGAGGCAAAGCAGCUCCAGAGCCAGCCCGAGGAGGAAGAGGGGAGCUGUGCCAGUCAAAAGAGAGGAAACAUUUCUAUUUCUGAACAUGCUGAAAGGCACCAGCAGUCAGGAGGAACAGGUGAACCAGUGCUUUGCUCCUGAAUUUGCACAUCUUGUUUAAACUUCCCAAGUUUCUCCAGUCUCAGGAUGCUUCCUGCAAAUUUCUGUCAUCUCCUGCCUGGUUUAGCUUUUCCUGGCCUUUAUGGAGGCACAGGAGGAAAGCCAGCACAGUUGAACCCAGUUUAAUGGUUGAAUAGUUUUUAUCCUGCUCUGGAACACGGAGCAGAGAUCGUUUUCAUUCGUUUAUUGUUUCAGCACUGGGCAAAUACAAAUGUUUCUCUUGCGUCCGAGGAUAUUUUUAAUACUGCUUUUUAGAUGUUGUUUUAUUUUGCUUGAAACUCCAAAUGCAUUCUUCCCAGAAUUUCUAAGCAUGUUCUUCUAAUUUUUUUUCUAAGGGUAUCCUGUCAGUUUUUAAAUACAGGCUUUUCAUGUUGCCAGUGAAUUGCUUUGAUCUGCAGAUGAGAAGUGAUGAGAUGCAGUUUCCUCAGUGCUGAACUUUGCCAAGAGUGCUCCUGUGACGGAUCCAAAAAUUGGGAAAAGAAAAUUCCUGACUGGACUUUCCAAAGCAAAAUCUUUUCCCAUUGUCUGAAAACAAAAUGCCCAGAAGAAGUCUUCUGUGAUUUGGUGGGACAAAAUGGUCCAGCAGGAACAGCAGAGGAUGAAAAGCGAGGAACAGGCUGAGAUCUAAUCUGACCCAACUCAUUGAUUCCUUCCCUGACCUUGGUGGAUGAAUGAGGUUCUUCUCCUUCUCCAGGGGACCUGUGGCUGGUUUUGACCGAGGCUUUCCAGGAGCGUUUGUCGUGUCACGGAUGCUGAAGAACUCUGCAGAUGAGUCUGAGAGAUAAAUAAGGCGGCUUUCAUAACGAAAUUACAGAGGAAAAGGUUUGGUGAGCCACCUGUUCCAAACACGAGGACAUUUGAUGUGAAAAAGAUCUUCCCAUAAAGCCAGGAAACAGUAAAUAAUCCCUAAAUAAUCCCUUGGAGCAACUGAAGACAGACACAAAAUUGUCCAUUGUCUCAUCCCAAAAGAAGAGUUCCAUCCUACAUCAAGCCUGUGCCAGUGGAGAGGGGUGAAAUCCAUGGAUCUCUUCUCCACAAGAAGAAGCUCCUCAGUAGCCAUGGAGUACUUUCCACCACGUUCACCUCAGCUCUGCAGAGAAAAUAUUCACAGCUGUAACAGGGCUAUGUGAAACCUGACAACAGGGAACCUGGAAGCCUCAAAGAACAAAAAUGAAGGGGAAAUUUUGAGAGUGAGACACGUAGCCACUGCAGGUUGUGUGGAAAAUGAUCUAGAAAAGGGUUAAAACUAGAAAAAAAACCUCACAUCAGUAAAAUUGUAAACACUAAUUCUGCUCUGAGUAGCAGCUGCAGGUGAGUGUGGUGUGUAACAGCAGAGUGAGGAAAUUACCAAACAUUUCCCAAUCCCUUUCUGUCUGAGACGGAGCAAACACAACCCCCAGGGUGCAGAUGGUUCCUGAACCACUUAGGCAUCCACACAAGUAUUUCUGUUUGCCAGAAUGAAGCAGAGAUUUUUGGCUGGUAAUGAUUUAUUAUCUCAGCACAGUGAUCAUUUAGUGGUUUCCCCAGUAAAUCAGCCUGAACUCUUCAAAGAGAACUGGGAGGAUCAGUCUCUAUCCCUGAAAAAAUCCAGCUUGCUUGGAGAGGGGCAUGGCUAAUUAAGGAUUUGCAGGAAAACAGAAAACACAGAUAAAGAAGGAGUUUAUAGAAUAAUAUUGAUGUCACAAGUUUGUAUUGCAUGAAACACACUGGGGUGCCUCUGAGCAGGCAGGGAAUGAAUUUAUGGCUUUGGGCAGCAGUGGUGGGAUGUCAUCUCCUGGUGGAUCCCAGCCAGCUAAAGGAAGCGGGAAAUCAGGGCACUCAGAGAUGGAUGCUGCAGGAAAAAAAUAGGCUGGACAAGUCUUCUUGCUUCAGCAUUUAAAUAAAAUUGUGCUUAGAGAUACUGAUGGGACAGCUGGAAAAGAAAAAAAAAUCCUCCAUCUUGUGCUGGCUAUAAAAUGUGCUGAGGUUUUACCUGGGAAAUGUUUAGGCAGAGUCAGAAAAAUGGAACAGAAAGUGGCAAUCUUUGAGAUUCCCCCAGUUCUGAGGAAAGUUUGAAAUGUGCAACAUUCCAAAGAACCAGAGACUUCUGCAACCAGGACUUUGUUGCUCUGAAUAAUUAAAAUAACAGGGGAAAAGGAGAGCAGCUCUCACAUGUAAGAUUUCUCCAAUGCUACCAGUGGCCUGGAUACCACGUGACAAUAUUCCUUACUUUCCAGGAGGAUGUUUACCAUGUUCCCUCAUGAUUCCUCCACAUAUUGGCCAUCUUUCCAAAGUAUUUCCAAGGCAAAUAAAAGUUGUGCUCUUCUUAUUCUUUCUCCUGUGUCUGUUUUUGUCUGAGCUCUUGCAUUCCCAUCCCUGGCAGUGCCCAAA